GAUCGCAGUGAUGACUCAAUCAAAUUCAAACUCAACAGACCAGAAUGCAGGGUUAUAGUCUUGUCUUGGGAGAUAGCUCUGUCUGUCAAUCAAAACGCUAUCUUGAGUGAUU